rnacentral:rRNA from 1 species
AUUGAACGCUGGCGGCAGGCCUAACACAUGCAAGUCGAGCGGAGGAAGGGAGCUUGCUCCUGGAUGCAGCGGCGGACGGGUGAGUAAUGGCUAGGAAGCUGCCUGGUAGGGGGGGAUAACGUCCGGAAACGGGCGCUAAUACCGCAUACGUCCAGAGGGAGAAAGGGGGGGAUCUUCGGACCACUCGCUCUUAGAUGAGCCUAGGUCGGAUCAGCUAGUUGUUGGGGUAAAGGCCUACUAAGGCGACGAUCCGUAACUGGCCUUAGAGGAUGAUCAGUCACACUGGGACUGAGACACGGUCCAGACUCCUACGGGAGGCAGCAGUGGGGAAUAUUGGACAAUGGGCGAAAGCCUGAUCCAGCCAUGCCGCGUGUGUGAAGAAGGUCUUCGGAUUCUAAAGCACUUUAAGUUGGGAGGAAGGGCAGUAAGUUUAUACCUUGCUGUUUUGACGUUACCAACAGAAUAAGCACCGGCUAACUUCGUG